rnacentral:rRNA from 1 species
UACGUAGGGUGCAAGCGUUGUCCGGAAUUAUUGGGCGUAAAGAGCUCGUAGGCGGCUUGUCACGUCGACUGUGAAAACCCGAGGCUCAACCUCGGGCCUGCAGUCGAUACGGGCAGGCUAGAGUUCGGCAGGGGAGACUGGAAUUCCUGGUGUAGCGGUGAAAUGCGCAGAUAUCAGGAGGAACACCGGUGGCGAAGGCGGGUCUCUGGGCCGAAACUGACGCUGAGGAGCGAAAGCCAGGGGAGCGAACGGG